rnacentral:rRNA from 1 species
GUAGGGAAUAUUGGACAAUGGAUGCAAGUCUGACCCAGCCAUCCCGCGUGCCGGAAGAAGGCCCUCAGGGUUGUAAACGGCUUUUGACGGUGAAGAAUCGACAGGAUGCGUCCUGUUUUGACGGUAGCCGUUGAAUAAGCACCGGCUAACUCCGUGCCAGCAGCCGCGGUAAUACGGAGGGUGCGAGCGUUGUCCGGAUUUAUUGGGUUUAAAGGGUGCGUAGGCUGGAAGGUCAGUCAGCGGUGGAAAGCUGUCGCUUAACGAUAGUCUUGCCGCAGAUACUUCCUUUCUUGGAUGAGGAGGAGGCCACUGGAACGGAUGGUGUAGCGGUGAAAUGCAUAGAUAUCAUCCAGAACACCGAUUGCGAAGGCAGGUGGCUGUACCUUAAUCGACGCUGAUGCACGAAAGCAUGGGGAGCAAACAGGAUUAGAAACCCCAGUAGUCC